AUUAGGCUAAUUAUGGAAUUUUAAUUAGGAUUAACUUGAUUAGAACUUUAGAAUUUAAUUAGAAUUAGAAUUUUACUAUGAUUAGAAUUAAUUAUUUUAGAUAGAAAAAUUAGAGAUAAUUAGGAUAAUUGAUUCUUAAAUAGAUUUUAAUUUUAGUAUUAAUUCCCUAAUUGACCACCCACGUGAACUGACUAUUUUAACCCUAGGGUUUAGUCAUAGAAUUUCAUGCUCCAUUAGAUUAGGGCUUGAUU
rnacentral:lncRNA from 1 species